GUUGACAUUCCAGGACGUGUCUAUAGAUUUCUCUGUGGAUGAGUGGGCCUGCCUGGACCCUGCUCAGCAGACUUUGUAUCGGGAUGUCAUGUUGGAGAACUACAGACACCUGGUCUUCCUAGGUCUUACUCUCUCUAAGCCAGACCUCAUCACCUGUCUGGAGCAAAGCAAAGAACCCUGGAAGGGGAAGGCACACCAGACAGUAGUCAAGCACCCAGCCAUAUCUAACCAUCCUGAGCAAGACCAUUUGCAAGAUCUGGACACAAAUAUUAUAUUCCCAGAGAUAAUCCUGAGGA